rnacentral:rRNA from 1 species
AGUAAGGAAUAUUGGUCAAUGGGCGAAAGCCUGAACCAGCCAUGCCGCGUGAAGGAUUAAGGCCCUCUGGGUUGUAAACUUCUUUUAUUUGGGACGAAAACAACUUUUUCUAAAGAAUUUGACGGUACCAGAUGAAUAAGCACCGGCUAACUCCGUGCCAGCAGCCGCGGUAAUACGGAGGGUGCAAGCGUUAUCCGGAUUCACUGGGUUUAAAGGGAGCGUAGGCGGGCAGGUAAGUCAGUGGUGAAAUCUUUGGGCUUAACCCGAAAACUGCCAUUGAUACUAUCUGUCUUGAAUAUUGCGGAGGUAAGCAGAAUAUGUCAUGUAGCGGUGAAAUGCUUAGAUAUGACAUAGAAUACCCAUUGCGAAGGCAGCUUACUACACAUAUAUUGACGCUGAGGCUCGAAAGCGUGGGGAUCAAACAGGAUUAGAUACCCUGGUAGUCCACGCCCUAAACGAUGAUUACUCGACAUACGCGAUACACUGUGUGUGUCUGAGCGAAAGCAUUAAGUAAUCCACCUGGGAAGUACGACCGCAAGGUUGAAACUCAA